GACACGCUCCUUAGAUCCACCUCUUGGGGGCGCUCCUGCACUGAAGCAGAAGCUCCAGUCUGGAGGCCCCCGGCAACUUUGUGGUUGUACAGUAGGAGGUGCUUGAGUCAUUGGCGUGUGAGAGCAGUCUACCUGCCUCUCCGGCCCCUUCGGCUGCACUGACCCCCUGCCGGCUCUGCGGGCAGGAAGCUCCCAGUGCGGCCAAGGCCGGAGGGCGGACACU